GACGAACGCUGGCGGCGUGCUUAACACAUGCAAGUCGAGCGGUAAGGCCCUUUCGGGGGUACGACGAGCGGCGAACGGGUGAGUAACACGUGGGUGACCUGCCCUCAGCUCUGGGAUAAGCCCGGGAACCUGGGUCUAAUACCGGAUAUGACUCCAUGACGCAUGUUGUGGGGUGGAAAGCCUUGUGCGGUUGAGGAUGGGCCCGCGGCCUAUCAGCUUGUUGGUGGGGUGAUGGCCACCAAGGCGACGACGGUAGCCGGCCUGAGAGGGCGACCGGCCACACUGGGACUGAGACACGGCCCA
rnacentral:rRNA from 1 species